rnacentral:rRNA from 1 species
GCUGUACGUAAGCUAUGAUCCAGAGAUUUCCGAAUGGGGGAACCCAGCAUCUUUUAUAGGAUGUUACGUUUGCGUGAAUACAUAGCGCAUUCGAGGUAGACGCAGAGAACUGAAACAUCUAAGUACCUGCAGGAAGAGAAAGAAAAUUCGAUUCCCUGAGUAGCGGCGAGCGAAACGGGAAAAGCCCAAACCAAUGAGCUUGCUCAUUGGGGUUGUAGGACUCCAAUAUGGUAGUUCUUUCAGAUAGUCGAAUGACUUGGAAAAGUCAGUCAAAGAGGGUAAAAACCCCGUAGAUGAAAUUUGGAAGGCACCUAGGAGGAUCCUGAGUACGGCGGAACACGAGGAAUUCCGUCGGAAUCCGGGAGGACCAUCUCCCAAGGCUAAAUACUCCCUAGUGACCGAUAGUGAACCAGUACCGUGAGGGAAAGGUGAAAAGCACCCCGGAAGGGGAGUGAAAUAGAACCUGAAACCGUGUGCCUACAACAAGUCAAAGCCCGUUAAUGGGUGAUGGCGUGCCUUUUGUAGAAUGAACCGGCGAGUUACGAUUGCAUGCGAGGUUAAGUUGAAGAGACGGAGCCGCAGCGAAAGCGAGUCUGAAUAGGGCGUUUGAGUAUGUAGUCGUAGACCCGAAACCAUGUGAUCUACCCAUGUCCAGGUUGAAGGUGCGGUAAAACGCACUGGAGGACCGAACCCACGUACGUUGAAAAGUGCGGGGAUGAGGUGUGGGUAGCGGAGAAAUUCCAAACGAACUUGGAGAUAGCUGGUUCUCUCCGAAAUAGCUUUAGGGCUAGCCUCGGAAUUGAGAAUGAUGGAGGUAGAGCACUGUUUGGACUAGGGGCCCAUCUCGGGUUACCGAAUUCAGAUAAACUCCGAAUGCCAUUCAUUCAUAUCCGGGAGUCAGACUGUGAGUGAUAAGAUCCAUAGUCGAAAGGGAAACAGCCCAGACCACCAGCUAAGGUCCCAAAAUAUAUGUUAAGUGGAAAAGGAUGUGGGGUUGCACAGACAACUAGGAUGUUGGCUUAGAAGCAGCCACCAUUUAAAGAGUGCGUAAUAGCUCACUAGUCGAGUGACCCUGCGCCGAAAAUGUACCGGGGCUAAACAUAUUACCGAAGCUGUGGAGUACACCUUUAGGUGUAUUGGUAGGAGAGCGUUCUAAGGGCGUUGAAGGUAGAUCGUGAGGACUGCUGGAGCGCUUAGAAGUGAGAAUGCCGGUAUGAGUAGCGAAAGACAGGUGAGAAUCCUGUCCACCGAAUGACUAAGGUUUCCUGGGGAAGGCUCGUCCGCCCAGGGUUAGUCGGGACCUAAGCCGAGGCCGACAGGCGUAGGCGAUGGACAACAGGUUGAUAUUCCUGUACUCGUUGUUUUUGUUUGAGCAAUGGAGGGACGCAGGAGGCUAAGGAAUGCAGACGAUUGGAAAUGUCUGUCUAAGCAGUA